UCACAGACACAGCAUCAGAACUGCUCAGGGGAACAUUCUUAGCCCUCUCCCUGAGCUGCUGGGGUGACUCACGCCUCCCUCCUGCCAGCAGGGACUGCGCCACACUCAGAAGGCCAGGUUGGGGUGGGGGAGGGGGUUGGUGAUCUAGAGAGAGGAGUUGGCUGGGGGGUAUAUCCAGGGAUAGAAGAACAGGUCCCAAGAUUUUGGGGUUUCUGGGGUCUAAAUCAAAGAAGAGAGAACUUGGGGCCAACUGGUAGCUCAGUGCAGAAUGGGUGACCAGCUAGAAGCCAGCCUAGGAUGCUCUGCAGAGCUUCCUUAGCCUCCCAGGAGGCCACAUAAACAUGCAGAGGCCAAGGUUUGGGGCUUAGGGACAGGGGCUGUGGCUCCAUUAGUCCUGAGCAAACACCAGCCUUUUGGGCUCCAUCCCAGGGACUUGGUAAGCACACUGCAGGACUGGUCUCCUCGACUAUGCCCUAUACUAGGUAGGAUAUUGAAUGGACACCCUGAUCCACAUCCAAGCUGACAGCAAAUCAUGUUCCAAGGAUUUUCCAAACCUUCCCAACAUUCUUCCAACAUGGUCCAAUCCUACUGAAGGCCUUGGAUAGCUGAGAGCCAAAUCACAGGUACUCCAGGUCCAACUUCUUCCUCAGUUCAAUUGUGGGGAGAGCAGGCAGCCUGGAGACGGAUCACUGACCCACUUCCUCCCCUCUGACCAUGGUCCAACUAGGCCAGAAUGCUCUAGGAAGCCCUAGCCCCUAGCAGCUAAGGCUGACCCUGCUGAAGGCAGAGCCACCGGAGAGACGGAGGGUUGCUAGGAGGCACCGUGAACGGACAGCCCUGGACGCGGAGGGAAGGGAAGCUGCCUUACAAGCUCAGCUCUUCCAACCCAUGGAUGUUCAACAAAACCCUCAAAGGCUAAAGCAGGACCCCGAUGGGGCAAGCAAGACUCUCACAGCGAGGUGCUCAAACCAGGUGCAAGGAUGCCCAAGAGCUGAAGGCAGUGUAACCAGCUGAGAGCACCACAAACCACAAACGUCAUCGCCUAACACCAACCAUCAACCACCAGCAAGAGGCCAAGACGGGGAAACUGAGGUACAGCAAGAUGAAAGUCACUCUCAUCAUAGAGCUGCUCAUGUGAUAGGGCCAGAGUUCUGAAGCACUGACCACCAUAACUCAUGGGCAGAAUAGACACGUCUGCCCCAGGUACAGGACCUACAGCGCCUAAACGGGAGAGGAAGACUUAGGGUUGGAGGCCCUCCAGAGAGUCAUAAAGCUGUUAGCACCCUGGCCUAGUAGAGUAGCCCCAGCUCUCCAACUUCCUGGGCCAUGGGGCCACUGUACCAUCAAAACUGGUGCCACUGCCAGCAUCACCUACUGUUGACCUCCCUCUUCUUCCCGGGUUGUGCCUCCCACUGAUAGAGAGAUCCCACUUGGCCCCCUGACCUCACUGCAGCCUUUUAAUAGACUGGUUAUUCCUGGGCCUGAAGGCCCCUCCCCUUUCCUGACGUCACAGUUACUAUUUUGGACCCCUCCUGGCCCCUCCUUGCCCCCUACUCCAGGCACGGAGCCAGGGACACCUGUCCUCUCUCUGGACUGGAUGACCUCACCCUCCUGUCAGGAGCCUGGGAGAAGCAGUCCAACCAAGGACAUGGUGGCUGCGACUCCAGAAACCCAUCUUCCAAGUUUCUGCCAGGACACCAAAGGGUGUCCCUCAGAUAGGAAAAUACACACGAGGGUGGUGGUAGAGGCAACUUUUCCCAAGCAUGGUGAGAUGCAGACGACCCUGGGGUUCGGGGUUUGCUCCCCAAUGGUAGAUCAGGAACUAAAGUGGGAAGAGUCUGGAGCUACAGACAAGACAGAUUCUAGAAAGAAAAGCAGAAGACCUGUGCAAUCCAGGAGCCUGAUGCUAGAAACCAGUGCCCCCCCAACCCCUAGCUGCAUCCAGAUCAACUAGGUCUCUCAAGAAGAGAAGGAAAGACCAGAGGCUCUGCCAAUGACAGUCACAGGCAGACACAAGGGAGCCCAGAAAGCCGUGGGCAGCAGCCCCUCCCAGACGGGGCUCCACCCACCCACGCUGGGAACAACCAGAAGGGCUGGCUAGCCCUGUCCUGGCACACUCUUACCUGCCCCAGGCACAAGAGAGUCCUGCUCAGGGGAGGACAAGCAGCUAUGACAAAUUGAAAGCAAAGCCCCUGAGACCCUAGAUUAGCCUGAUGUCAAAAGAGGUCUCCCUUUCUCUGUUGCUUGAGACAGAGUCCCACUCUGUAGCCAAGGCUAGCCUUGAACUCACAAUGAUCCUCCUGACUCGGCCUUUCCAUUGCUGGGACUACAGGUUUAAGCUAUUAAACUUGGUAAAGAAGAUUCUUCACAACUCUUUGAGGACACAGGCACUCAAAGUCCAGGGCUCAGUGAGAACAGCCAGAGCUAUCAUGACUUCUAUGCCAUAGCAUGAAAAGUCUCCAUCUUUCAUGUAAUUCCCCAAAAGCUCUGAGGAAAUGUGCCGGGAUAGGUCUAAGAGGAGGAAGGACAAGCAUCUCUCUUCUUCCAAGAUGCAGAUGAUGUAACGAGGUCUUCCUAAUGUCUAACCUCAAGCUUUCCUGCUAUAGCAUCCCCUUCUCCUGCCUACGUUCCCAUCCCUACCCAUCCACAGCUCCCAAGUCCCACCCCACAAAUCUCCCAGAAUGCUCACUAAGGGUGUAGUCUACGAAACACAUCCAGAGCCAGCACCAGCAAGUUCAAGCCCAGCUUGGGCUACAGAACCAGCUCUGUUUCCCCCAGCAGGGCCUCUACUCCCCACCUCUGGCCUCCAAAUCACCUGAAGCUGGAGCAGAAGGAAGAGCCCAAUGCUGCCUCCUUCAGCUCUGCCCCAUCUCAUUGCCUGGGCCCAAAGGCCGCCUUGGAGUCCUGACUGAAAGAGAAGAGAAGUCUUCUGCCCAAAAUUGGUCCAGAGACCCUGGACUGGGAGAUGCCCGGGAAACAUCAGCCCGGCUACCCUAGGACCCGUCAGCAUGGCCCAGAAACCACCAGGAGCCAGGUCCACGGUUAGGUACUAGCUGAAUUUUCUCAUUUAAAACCAACUGUAGGAAGAAUACGGACACACACUUUGCCAUCUUCUAUUCUCCCCCUCGGUUGAUGCUGCCUCUCCUCACCAGCCAGUCCUAAGCCUUCAAUCCCUCUGGAAGCUGAGCAGGGAAGAGAACACAGACUCCAAUCUGCCAGGGCACCUAUAGACAAAGGAGACCAAAGGUCCUCUCCCCGGACCCCUGCCCAGGCCAGCACUGACCCACUUUCUCCUCCUCUGGCUGGUUGCCUGCCCUCCCAGGGGCUCGGUAGCAGAGCCUGAGGCAGGGAGACAGGAUGCCAAGGUUCCUGGCUCCACCCCACACCCAUGCCCCAGUUUCUCUGGUCACCCCAAAGGGAGGGGGCAGUCGCCCUCCCUCCUGGGAAAGGGAAGGAGAGAAAGUAUAGAGGGCGCUAGGAGGUGCUGGGCAGACAGGUGCUAUCAUGCGGCUCAUCUUCCUCCUACGCAGGGCAUAAGGGACCUAGAUGCCUCCUCCAGGGCCCCACCAACAAACAUCUAGACAGGAUCACGUGACAGGCCGCAUUCUUGUCCCUCUCUAAGCAAUGGUCCUGAGAAAAGGGUACAAUCAGGGCAGUUGAGGUCCUAGGUCCCAGGGAGGCUCUUCCAAGCCAGAGCUGCUAUAGAUUCUAGCAGUCUUUAACCCCACAGAGGGGAACGGAUAGACGGGACUGGCUCCAGAAAAAUAAAGAACACCUUACCCUUUGUACCCGCCUCUGCCUAAAGAAAAAGGUAGAGGGAAACAGACUGUCCUCUUCCAGGAAGUAGGGUUCCUCAGAUAGCCAGAGAGGUAGAUUGAGUCAAGUACUGCCAGGCAGCCCAGCCCAGAGGUAUAUAAAGUAAAUGCUCACUGGCCAAAGUGGUGGACCCAGAAGCAAACCGCCCAGUCUCCACCUGCUGCCUGCCCCCCAGCAGGAACCUGCAAGCUGACUUUCGGGCUGGGACGGUAGGGAUGGACCAUUUCCUGUCUUCUUGGUCCACCACAAGCCAGCCUCACUGGUGAAGGCAGGCAAAGACUUGUCAAACAAAGUUCUUAUGCUGAGAGGAACUGGGGGACAGAGUGAAGGUGCCCUGCUAUACCUGCCGUGCGGCUGUAUGCCCUAGGAAGAAAGGAACGAGUGAGCCAGGAUGUGGAGAGAGAUCGGUCCACUUCACUGUGGACAACCUAUGGGCUCGGAAAACAAAGUCACUUUCUUUUUGUGGAAUUCCAAGUCAUGUAGUUCCCAGCCCCUUCCAGGAGCAGGGCGUCAGAAGCCGUAACCCAGAUGCCAGCUGAACUUGGAGAACAGAUGCUGAGCCCCUUCAAAGAGUAAAUAAAAGCUGUGUGCAGA